CUUUAUUUUAUUCUUCCUUCUGUUUGCUUUGAGUUUAUUUCCUCUGGUUUUUUUCUAGGUUUUGAGUCAGGAACAUGGAUGAUUAAUUUGAGAGCUUUCCUCCUUGCUAAUAUUUCAAACUUCAUGAAGGCAAGCCUUCUUUACUCGUGUCUGCUGUUCCAAUGUCCAGCACAACACUUUGCAUGUAGGAGUAUUUUUCUCAAAACCUGUGUCGAUUUGAUUCCGGCUCUGUCACCAGGCUGGAGUGCAGUGGCAAGAUCUCGGCUCAUCACAAAACUCUGCCUCUCUGGUUCAAGCAAUUCUCUGCCUCAGCCUCCUAAGUUGCUGGGAUAACAGGUGCCCACCACCACACCAGGCUAAUUUUUUGUAUUUUUAGUAGAGACGGUGUUUUGCCAUCCUGGCCAGGCUGGUCUUAAACUCCUGAUCUCAUGAUCCACCUGCCUCAGCCUCCCAAAGUGCUGGGAUUACAGGUGUGAGAUUUAUUAUUCUUUUUUAUUUCCCAUAGUGCUCAGAAUACACUGCUAAGUAGUCAAUAAAUGCUACUCAAUUGAGUAAAACCUUCA
rnacentral:lncRNA from 13 species